UUUAAGGCUUUUGUAUAUUCUGCUUUUUGUUUCCUGUGUGGUUAAAAACAAGUUUUUGCCUCUACAAACCGAUUGUGUAUCUGUUUGUUUUCUUCUUCCCGCAUCCCUGCGCUGUGUAGAGUGCAGAAACGUUUUGCAAAUGUCGGAGUGAUUUGCAUGUGGUUCCUGCAGCGCUGGCUUGAUGUUGCCACAGUUUACUUACUUCCCUAUUGAUAACCCCACUUAGUUAUUUGUGCCGUCUCAAUCGGAUCAGUGCAGUAGAAGUAUGCAGCGCUGAAUCAUGAUGAGGGGAUAAGGAAACAACGUGGUAAAUGCACCGGUUUACUGCCCCCUUCAGCCGCCUGUCUGAUCUGUUUUCCUUCCUGGACGAUUGGAAGCAAACUAGCCCAAAGUGUCUGACUUUCAGCGGUCUGCAUGCAGAAAUGAGACUUUGUUUUCGAACUGCGGCGAGUGCAGGUGGCACAGAUCAGCUCAAACAUCAAGCAAGGCUGUUCCGAGGGGCCUUCUGGCUGCUGGCCGUGGGGGGAAUGAAAUGCAUGGAGGAGAGUGGGUCGACACGUCCCCUCGACGGUGCCUUUGUGGUUGGCAGUAAACUGAGAGGACAAGUGACACAGUGGUAGUGGGUUGGAGCCAGACAAAACAAGGAGAGAGUUGGUGUGGUUUAGAAGGGUGGCGUUGGAUCGCAAAAAAGAAGAAAUACCGGUAAACUAGAAAUCAAGCUGGUGGGGUUAUAAGUCUCCGUACAAAAUGUAUAAGUCUUGCAAUCAAGUCCAAUAACCCGGAUGAAUUCUGACUGGGGAGAUGGGAUAUAAAGAGCAGAGUUUUGUGUCGGUCUCAAGUAGGUGAAGCGGGGAGGGGGGGCAGCGUGGGACUGUAAUGCCGGCGCCGUUUGAAGCGUUGCCCACCCUGCAAUCCUCACCUUGUGACUACCGCCUGUGACACGGUGCUGAAGUCCAAGCCCUUUCUCUCCCGUUUCCCGCCCACCGCUUGUGCGUGCGUGUGUGUCUGUGUACAUACGCUCUCGUCAUCCACUUUUCCUCUGCCCUGCCCUCACCUCCUCCCCUCCCUCCC
ensembl:lncRNA